rnacentral:rRNA from 1 species
AACGAACGCUGGCGGCAUGCCUAACACAUGCAAGUCGAACGAGAUCUUCGGGUCUAGUGGCGCACGGGUGCGUAACGCGUGGGAAUCUGCCCUUUGGUUCGGAAUAACAGUUGGAAACGACUGCUAAUACCGGAUGAUGACGAAAGUCCAAAGAUUUAUCGCCAGAGGAUGAGCCCGCGUAGGAUUAGCUAGUUGGUGUGGUAAAGGCACACCGAGGCGACGAUCCUUAGCUGGUCUGAGAGGAUGAUCAGCCACACUGGGACUGAGACACGGCCCAGACUCCUACGGGAGGCAGCAGUGGGGAAUAUUGGACAAUGGGCGAAAGCCUGAUCCAGCAAUGCCGCGUGAGUGAUGAAGGCCUUAGGGUUGUAAAGCUCUUUUACCCGGGAUGAUAAUGACAGUACCGGGAGAAUAAGCUCCGGCUAACUCCGUGCCAGCAGCCGCGGUAA